AUGGACGACUUCUAUGUAUCAGACGAUGAGCUACACGUUCCGUUCUUACCUCUGCUCACUCCACGCUGUGUGACCAUAUGCCGGCAAUAUAUUUUGGAUCUGGCUCUAAAGAGGCUUGGGCUUGUUGUAGAAAGCAUCAAGAGCACAACCAAACAGCAGACAACGCCUUCUCCCAGCACAUAUGAACAACAGAUGACCCCUCCUCCGAAGUUAGACAUGUCAAGCAAGCAAGUUGGGAAACGUGCCAUGUGCAAUGUUCGCAAAGAUUUAUUUGGAAAACGCAAGCGCGACUGCGAAGAGUAA
rnacentral:rRNA from 1 species